rnacentral:piRNA from 1 species
UGCCUGUAAUCCCAGCACUCUGGAAAUGGA